UACGAAGGGGGCUAGCGUUGCUCGGAAUCACUGGGCGUAAAGCGCACGUAGGCGGCUUUCUAAGUCAGGGGUGAAAUCCUGGAGCUCAACUCCAGAACUGCCUUUGAUACUGGAGAGCUUGAGUCCGGAAGAGGUGAGUGGAACUCCGAGUGUAGAGGUGAAAUUCGUGGAUAUUCGGAAGAACACCAGUGGCGAAGGCGGCUCACUGGUCCGGUACUGACGCUGAGGUGCGAAAGCGUGGGGAGCAAACAGG
rnacentral:rRNA from 1 species